rnacentral:rRNA from 1 species
CCUACGGGAGGCAGCAGUGGGGAAUUUUGGACAAUGGGGGCAACCCUGAUCCAGCCAUUCCGCGUGAGUGAAGAAGGCCUUCGGGUUGUAAAGCUCUUUCGCAAGGGAAGAAAACUUAUGAUCGAAUAAAUCAUGAGGUUGACGGUACCUUGAUAAGAAGCACCGGCUAACUACGUGCCAGCAGCCGCGGUAAUACGUAGGGUGCGAGCGUUAAUCGGAAUUACUGGGCGUAAAGCGUGCGCAGGCGGUUUUGUAAGUCGGAUGUGAAAUCCCCGGGCUCAACCUGGGAACUGCGUUCGAAACUGCAAGGCUAGAGUGUGUCAGAGGGGGGUAGGAUUCCACGUGUAGCAGUGAAAUGCGUAGAGAUGUGGAGGAAUACCAAUGGCGAAGGCAGCCCCCUGGGAUAACACUGACGCUCAUGCACGAAAGCGUGGGGAGCAAACAGGAUUAGAUACCCUGGUAGUCCACGCCCUAAACGAUGUCAACUAGUUGUUGGUAGAGUAAAAUCUAUGAGUAACGUAGCUAACGCGUGAAGUUGACCGCCUGGGGAGUACGGUCGCAAGAUUAAAACUCAAAAGGAAUUGACGG